CUCACUCUUGUGUGAAGGAGGUUUUGUAUGGCGUCUUAACUAGACUGUCUCACCGUGGAACACGUUCGGUGGAGGGACCAAACUGCUGCUGAAAACUGGUCCUACUGUCAGUCCCACAGUGUCUCUGCUCCCCCCUCCUCUGAGCAGCUCUCUGGGGGCUCUGCCACACUGGCCUGCCUGCUGACUGGCUACUCCCCUCAGGGGGCGCUGGUGAGCUGGGAGGUGGACGGGCUGGAGGUGAGCCAGGGGGUCGUGACCAGUCCAGAAGAAGAGAAGGAAGGCCUUUACAGACGCAGCAGCACCAUGACACUGAGCAAGGCAGGCUGGGAGCAGGGAGAGCUCUACACCUGCAGGGUCUCCCACUUCCAACACACCCAGGCCUCCCCCCUUCGCAGGAGCCAGUGUCUGGGCUAGGGUCUACCGGAGGCCCACAACAGGAGCUCUGUCUGGGGAAGCAGGAGUAGACGAGGCUCUGGUCUGGGCUGGGGCCUGGUUGGAGCAGUAGUAGUGUGUUGGAGUGGUAGAGUAGUGUCCUGAGUAAACUCUAGUACUGCUGGGGAGACCACAGUCUGGGUAGUAAUGUGUAUUGUAUAGAGUAGAGGAGACUUCUAUGUGUUCUCUACUCAGACUGUUACUGUGAUGUUGCUAUCUGCCUCAGUUCUAAUAAAGCUUGAUUUGGAAUAUAA